rnacentral:tRNA from 1 species
GCAUAACUAGAUAGCUCAGUUGAUUAGAGUGUGGUGCUGAUAAUGCCAAGGUUGCAGGUUUGAUCCCUGUAUGGGAUAGCUGCA